CCUACGGGAGGCAGCAGUGGGGAAUAUUGGACAAUGGGGGAAAGCCUGAUCCAGCGACGCCGCGUGAGGGAAGAAGUAUUUCGGUAUGUAAAGCUCUAUCAGCAGGGAAGAAAAGGAGGGUACCUGACUAAGAAGCUCCGGCUAACUACGUGCGAGCAGACGCGGGAAUACGGAGGGGGCAAGCGUUAUCCGGAUUUACUGGGUGUAAAGGGAGCGUAGACGGGGGUGAAAAUCAGGAGUGAAAUGCCGGGGCCCAACCCCGGAACUGCUCUGGAAACUGUGAAGCUGGAGUGCAGGAGAGGUAAGCGGAAUUCCUGGUGUAGCGGUGAAAUGCGUAGAUAUCAGGAGGAACACCGGCGGCGAAGGCGGCUUACUGGACUGUAACUGACGUUGAGGCUCGAAGGCGUGGGGAGCAAACAGGAUUAGAUACCCGAGUAGUC
rnacentral:rRNA from 1 species